AGUUCACGCCGUAAUCGAUGUCAUCUAGCCGUUGGGAGCCUUGAGCUCUUAGUGGCGCAGCUAACGCAUUAAGUUGACCGCCUGGGGAGUACGGCCGCAAGGUUAAAACUCAAAUGAAUUGACGGGGGCCCGCACAAGCGGUGGAGCAUGUGGUUUAAUUUGAAGCAACGCGAAGAACCUUACCAGGCCUUGACAUCCAAUGAACUUUCUAGAGAUAGAUUGGUGCCUUCGGGAACAUUGAGACAGGUGCUGCAUGGCUGUCGUCAGCUCGUGUCGUGAGAUGUUGGGUUAAGUCCCGUAACGAGCGCAACCCUUGUCCUUAGUUACCAGCACGUAAUGGUGGGCACUUUAAGGAGACUGCCGGUGACAAACCGGAGGAAGGUGGGGAGGAGGUCAAGUCAUCAUGGCCCCUACGGCCUGGGCUACACACGUGCUACAAUGGUCGGUACAGAGGGUUGGCAAGCCGCGAGGUGGAGCUAAUCCCACAAAACCGAUAAUACUCCGGCUGGCAGUAUGCAACUCGACUGCGUGAAGUCGGAAUCGCUAGUAAUCGCGAAUCAGAAAUCGCGGUGAAUACGUUCCCGGGCCUUGUACACACCGCCCGUCACACCAUGGGAGUGGGUUGCACCAGAAGUAGCUAGUCUAACAACCGCGAGGACGGUC
rnacentral:rRNA from 1 species